UGUGACCUGAGCCAAAAUCAAGAGCUGGACACCUAACCAACCAAGCCCCCCAGGCGCCCCAGCCCUCCCCUGUUUUAUGGUUGGGGAUUUCACUGCCUCCAAGCUUCGUGAAAGAUGGUGGAAUUAAAUGAAUGAUAUCAAGAGCACGCUCUAAAGUUGCACAAACAAGUUGUGUCUUUCCACAGUGACAGCUUUAUGCAGUCCUAAAGCAAGAAUGAGGCGAAUAAUAAUACCUAACAUCCCAGGCUGUCGUGAGGAUUAAACACAACACUACUUGACGAAAUGAAAAGUCCCUAGGACGACAGCCGGCAUACAGUCUGCACUCAACAAACCCGUCACUCCCAGCAGCACAUUAAAGAUAUGGGCAGUCCGAACCUGAGGCCCUACAGAUGCCCUAGAAUCCCUGCAACUUUGUGACCCUUAUAAACACAUUCCUUUGGCUUCACUCCUGGACACUCUGAACUUGCAGAAAAAGAGAAUGCAUCAUCUUGAUGGCCUCCCAGUUAUAGUCUGAGUGUGAAGGAUAAGAGUGGAAUCUGAGCUGUGAAAUGAUGAUGUUUGAGUAGAUUCGCCUGAGAAGUUUGAACCUGGAAACACCUCAAACCUCCUUCUCUCAGAGGAGACUAUACCGCAACCUCUGCUGAGGCAGAAGCCCUGUAAGAUGCCACAUGUCCUACUGAAGAUUCACCCCUCUGCUCUUGCCUCUUUCAAAGUAAGUAACCGAAGUCAGCUCUCUGUAUCCUAGACAAGAAAAAGUCUCUGCUCUGGGAGAAAAUAGUACACGUACCAUAGGGCUUGCGGGCCCUGGCCACAACAUAUGGGAAGAACCCAGGGGGCUUGUGAGAGAGCAGAUUUGAAGCUGUUUGAUUGGGGGAGAGGUGAAAGAUAUGCCUGGGCAAGGGGAGUUUCCCCCACUUGGGGGCCCUUCAUCCACAAGUCAAGAUCCAGAGCUGUGGACACGAUACCUAAAGCUAGUCCUAAUUGACUGUUGGGAUGGAACUUGGCCUAGAGAAAUGAAAAGGAUAUUACCAGAACUUCCUUGACACAGCAUCAAGGAAAGGUCAAAAGGAUUAUAGAAGUAUGGACAUUGGAACUGAUUCACUGUGUAAGACCUAAGAACCCAUCAGAGGACACCGCAUUUUUUAAGGCCAUCAGCAUCUCUGAGACACCCAAUGGUGACCGUCCUCUCUCGGUUAGUGUGGACAGUGAGAGGUCAAGAGGCCAGGUGACUGCAUUUAAAUAUCAAAGGAAAGUGAGUGUAAUUAUUGUGUUGGAAAGCAGAGCUGAACCAGCCAUCAAGGUUCCUUGACCCACAGGGAUCUGGAGAAAUGGCUAACAGAUCAUGGUAUUACUAGAGGGGAGGAAGAUGCAGACAACUGAGCACAGCAUGCUUCUUUAUAUAAUUAAAAAGAAAUCAAGAACUCAUGAGCAGAAGGCUAAUGUCAGCUGCCAUAAUGGAAACCACAUUCCUUCUCAAGUUCCCAAGUGAACGUUAGUUCACAGGCCCAGAGCUCAGUGUUUGAAAGGGAAGCCAGGUCCCCUUAAGGACGGACUGUGCAAUACCACCAUAAAUCUCUAUAGUAAAAUUUUCCCCAAUCAUUCUAGGGAGACUUGAGGUCAUAUGCCAGGGUAACUACGCGCCACGGUAAAAAGAAUACCCAGAUCUGAGAUAAGACUGAUUGGAACCAGGAGACGUCACAUGCUCCUGUGCCUACAAUGAAGGCUAAUCGAGUCCAGGCUCAAAUCUAGCUGACAAUGGGCCCCAUGAGUCUUCAGACCCGCUCGGUGGUUAUUUCCUCAGCCCCAAAGUAGGAAUUGUGUUAAUGCAGUAGACACUGUUGGUACCUGGCCCACAUCCCCUGGGCACUUAACUAUUUCUGUGCACUGUAAUCAGAUAGCUUCCUACUGCAAGCAUCGGUGAGUCUUUGGCUGUGGUCUUUUGGCUGGCUUAUACAGGGAGCAGGUUGGGCUUUCCAGAGAGAGAAUCUCAGGUCAGAGAGGUGGGGAUGUCAGAAUGCAUUAAGUCACGCCAGAGGAUCCACUGGCUGACUAUAUUUCCUAAGAGGUCCCAGAGGUCACCCCCCUCUGUAAAACAAGGAUUGAAUUCAUGAGAAGGCUACUGUUACUGGAUUAUUGAGGACCUGAAUGGUGGCCCAGGUCUUACAGUAGGAGAUGUUGUUAUAGAAUUGGAUUCCUUAGUGUCAAUGCUCAUGACAGGAUUCCAGAAUAGCAGAGCCCAUGUGACAGCCCUAAGUUGUCAGAGACAUGAUGGAUAUAAUUUCCACACAGGUGGGAAAGGUACCAAGAGUGCAUUGACCCACAGGGAUAUGUGGGAAUGGCUAAUGAUGAUUAUGUUCUUGGAAUGAAUAGAUGGUCAGUGUUAUGGACUGAAUGCUUGUGUCCAAAAUUUAUAUGUUGAAAUCCUAACUUCCUGAUGUUAUCACGAGGUAGGGCCUUUGGGGGGUGAUUAUUAGGUCAUCAGAGAGCCCUCAUGAGUAGGACGAAUGCCCUUAUAAAAGAGACCCCAGAGAGCUUUCUUGUGCCAUCUGCCUUCUGAGGACGAAGAGAGAAGAUGACCGUCUAUGAACCAGGCUAUCAGCAGACACAGAAUCUGCCAGUGCCCUGAUUUUGUACUCUCCAGUAUCCAGAACUGUGAGAAAUAAAUGUUUGCUGUUCAUGUCA